rnacentral:rRNA from 1 species
GAUGAACGCUGGCGGCGUGCCUAAUACAUGCAAGUCGAGCGAACGGACAAGAAGCUUGCUUCUCUGAUGUUAGCGGCGGACGGGUGAGUAACACGUGGAUAACCUACCUAUAAGACUGGGAUAACUUCGGGAAACCGGAGCUAAUACCGGAUGAUAUUUUGAACCGCAUGGUUCAAAAGUGAAAGACGGUCUUUCUGUCACUUAUAGAUGGUUCCGCGCUGCAUUAGCUAGUUGGUAAGGUAACGGCUUACCAAGGCAACGAUGCAUAGCCGACCUGAGAGGGUGAUCGGCCACACUGGAACUGAGACACGGUCCAGACACCUACGGGAGGCAGCAGUAGGGAAUCUUCCGCAAUGGGCGAAAGCCUGACGGAGCAACGCCGCGUGAGUGAUGAAGGUCUUCGGAUCGUAAAACUCUGUUAUUAGGGAAGAACAUAUGUGUAAGUAACUGUGCACAUCUUGACGGUACCUAAUCAGAAAGCCACGGCUAACUACGUG